rnacentral:rRNA from 1 species
CACGUAGGGCGCGAGCGUUAUCCGGAAUGAUUGGGCGUAAAGCGUCCGCAGGUGGCAAUGUAAGUCUGCUGUCAAAGCGUCUGGCUCAACCAGAUAAAGGCAGUGGAAACUACAUAGCUAGAGUAAGGUAGGGGUAGAGGGAAUUCCUGGUGUAGCGGUGAAAUGCGUAGAGAUCAGGAAGAACACCGGUGGCGAAAGCGCUCUGCUGGACCUUAACUGACACUGAGGGACGAAAGCUAGGGGAGCGAAUGGG